rnacentral:lncRNA from 1 species
AGGACUUGUGGUUUGGGGUUUGGAAUAUUUUAUAAAUAGGGUUUGAGGUGAAAGAAUAGAUUGAGGUUCAAGGGUAGAUGGGUUUGGGGUUUGGAAUAUAUGAAGUAGAAGAUAAGGAAGAUGGGGUUUGGGGUUUCGGAUUUUAGGGAUUUAUACGUAAUACUCGUUAAUUCCUCGUAAGCCAAAAUCGUCGUAAGGUUGUCGUAAGGCCACGAGGAGUUUACGACGAAAUUAAAAAAAAUAAAGAAAGCGGGGCACGCUAAUUCCACGCAAGCCAAAAUCGUCGUAAGGUUGUCGUAAGGCCACGAGGAGUUUACGACAAAAUUAAAAAAAAAAUAAAGAAAGCGGGGCACGCUAAUUCCACGUAAGACUCUCUGAGUGAAUGAAAAUAAGGAAUUGUGGUUUGGAAUGAAAAUAAAGAUAGGGUUUGGAAUAUAUGAAGUAGAAGAUAAGGAAUAUGGGGUUUGGGGUUUGGGGUUUCGGGUUUUAGGGAUUUAAAUGGAAUACUCGUUAAUUCCUCGUAUGUUAACGUCGAACUUACGACGAAUUCCUCGUAAAUACCACGUAGGACAGAUUCGUCGUAAAUACCACGUAGGACAGAUUCGUCGUAAAUACCACGUAGGACAGAUUCGUCGUAAAUACCACGUAGGACAGAUUCGUCGUAAAUACCACGUAGGAGAGAUUCGUCGUAAAUACCACGUAAAGUAAAUGAUGAACGCGGCCCACUUUAAUUCCACGUAGGACGGAAUCGUCGUAAACACCUCGUAACCAAAAUCGUCGUAAACACCUCGUACCGUAAAAACUAGAAAAAAAAAAAGAAGAAAAAAUAUACUGGAUUUACAUGUGGCA